UCUUUAUCACCGAGUGCUUGCACUCACCGAUAAAGAGUUGAGUGGCGAACGGGUGAGUAACACGUGGGCAACCUGCCCAAAAGAGGGGGAUAACACUUGGAAACAGGUGCUAAUACCGCAUAACCAUAGUUACCGCAUGGUAACUAUGUAAAAGGUGGCUAUGCUACCGCUUUUGGAUGGGCCCGCGGCGCAUUAGCUAGUUGGUGGGGUAAAGGCUUACCAAGGCAAUGAUGCGUAGCCGAACUGAGAGGUUGAUCGGCCACAUUGGGACUGAGACACGGCCCAAACUCCUACGGGAGGCAGCAGUAGGGAAUCUUCCACAAUGGGCGAAAGCCUGAUGGAGCAACGCCGCGUGGGUGAAGAAGGUCUUCGGAUCGUAAAACCCUGUUGUUAGAGAAGAAAGUGCGUGAGAGUAACUGUUCACGUUUCGACGGUAUCUAACCAGAAAGCCACGGCUAACUACGUGCCAGCAGCCGCGGUAAUACGUAGGUGGCAAGCGUUAUCCGGAUUUAUUGGGCGUAAAGGGAACGCAGGCGGUCUUUUAAGUCUGAUGUGAAAGCCUUCGGCUUAACCGGAGUAGUGCAUUGGAAACUGGGAGACUUGAGUGCAGAAGAGGAGAGUGGAACUCCAUGUGUAGCGGUGAAAUGCGUAGAUAUAUGGAAGAACACCAGUGGCGAAAGCGGCUCUCUGGUCUGU
rnacentral:rRNA from 1 species